rnacentral:piRNA from 2 species
UACCUAAUUUGUUGUCCAUCA